rnacentral:rRNA from 1 species
CAGGCCUAACACAUGCAAGUCGAACGAGAAAGUUUUCUUCGGAAAACGAGUACAGUGGCGCACGGGUGAGUAACGCGUGAAUAAUCUACCCCUGAAUUUGGGAUAACAGUUCGAAAGGGCUGCUAAUACCGGAUGACAUAAUUCUUACCACGGUUUGAAUUGUCAAAGAGGGCCUCUCCUUGGAAGCUCUUGUUUGGGGAUGAGUUCGCGUCCCAUUAGCUUGUUGGUAAGGUAACGGCUUACCAAGGCAACGAUGGGUAGCUGGUCUGAGAGGAUGAUCAGCCACACUGGAACUGACACACGGUCCAGACUCCUACGGGAGGCAGCAGUGAGGAAUUUUGCGCAAUGGGGGAAACCCUGACGCAGCAACGCCGCGUGAGUGAUGAAGGCUCUUGGGUCGUAAAGCUCUGUCAAGUGGGAAGAAACCUUCCUUAUUUAAUAGAUAAGGGAAUUGACGGUACCACUGAAGGAAGCACCGGCUAACUCCGUGCCAGCAGCCGCGGUAACACGGGGGGUGCAAGCGUUAUUCGGAAUUAUUGGGCGUAAAGGGCGCGUAGGCGGCCGUUUAAGUCGGGUGUGAAAUCCCGGGGCUUAACCCCGGAACUGCAUCCGAUACUGGAUGGCUUGAGUAUGGGAGAGGGAAGUGGAA